rnacentral:rRNA from 1 species
GACGAACGCUGGCGGCGCGCUUAACACAUGCAAGUCGAACGGAAAGGCCUGCUUUCCCUUGUGGAUUGCGGGUACUCGAGUGGCGAACGGGUGAGUAACACGUGAGUGAUCUGCCCCCAACUUGGGUAUAAGCCUGGGAAACUGGGUCUAAUUCCCGAUAGGACUGCAGGGUGGUGCCUGUGGUGGAAAACGAUUUUCUAGUGGUUGGGGAUGAGCUCGCGGCCUAUCAGCUUGUUGGUGGGGUAAUGGCCUACCAAGGCGGCGACGGGUAGCCGGCCUGAGAGGGUGGACGGCCACAGUGGGACUGGGAUACGGCCCAGACUCCUACGGGAGGCAGCAGUGGGGAAUAUUGGACAAUGGGCGGAAGCCUGAUGCAGGGACGCAGCGUGGGGGAUGACGGGCUUCGGGUUGUAAACUCCUUUCGACCGCGAGGAAGCCACCUGGUUGGAAGGGUGGUGACGGUAGUGGUCGAAGAAGCACCGGCUAACUACGUG